GGAACCAGUAGAUAUAUAGGAGUAAAUUUGAAAAUAAAAGAUUAUUGCAAGGGACGGAAUACGUGUGGAAAUAUUUAACAAGAUGAUUGACGAGAGGCUAAGUGUUGGGAUACUUUCCGCUCUGGUGGUCAUCGUAGUUGUAUGGGUUGUCCUGUUGAUCAGUUGUCGGCUUUCAAAAAGGAAUAGCUCUGGAGGAGAGACACGACCUUCUGUAAAAUAGACCCCAAUAUACGACAUAUUACCAGCUGUUGUUACCCCUAAGAACAACCUAGACCAACAGAGGAACUCGUCCAUUAGUUUCAGCCUGUCCAGCUAUCCU